UGGGGAAUAUUGGACAAUGGGCGCAAGCCUGAUCCAGCAAUGCCGCGUGUGUGAAGAAGGUCUUCGGAUUGUAAAGCACUUUCGGCGGGGACGAUGAUGACGGUACCCGCAGAAGAAGCCCCGGCUAACUUCGUGCCAGCAGCCGCGGUAAUACGAAGGGGGCUAGCGUUGCUCGGAAUUACUGGGCGUAAAGGGCGCGUAGGCGGCGCUGCAAGUCAGGCGUGAAAUUCCUGGGCUUAACCUGGGGGCUGCGCUUGAGACUGUGGUGCUAGAGGAUGGAAGAGGGUCGUGGAAUUCCCAGUGUAGAGGUGAAAUUCGUAGAUAUUGGGAAGAACACCGGUGGCGAAGGCGGCGACCUGGUCCAUUACUGACGCUGAGGCGCGACAGCGUGGGGAGCAAA
rnacentral:rRNA from 1 species